AUUGAACGCUGGCGGCAGGCCUAACACAUGCAAGUCGAGCGGCAGCACUUCGGGUGGCGAGCGGCGAACGGGUGAGUAAUGCAUGGGAAUCUGCCUGAUAGUGGGGGAUAACUCUGGGAAACUAGAGGUAAUACCGCAUACGUCCUACGGGAGAAAGCGGGGGAUCUUCGGACCUCGCGCUAUCAGAGGAGCCCAUGUCCGAUUAGCUAGUUGGUGAGGUAAAGGCUCACCAAGGCGACGAUCGGUAACUGGUCUGAGAGGAUGGUCAGUCACACUGGAACUGAGACACGGUCCAGACUCCUACGGGAGGCAGCAGUGGGGAAUAUUGGACAAUGGGGCAACCCUGAUCCAGCCAUGCCGCGUGUGUGAAGAAGGCCUGGUUGUAAG
rnacentral:rRNA from 1 species